rnacentral:tRNA from 1 species
GCCAUGGUAGCACAACUGUUAAGUGCUUGGCUGCUAACCAAAAGGCUGAUGGUUCAAGCCCACCCAGUGGCU